UAGGGAAUCAUCCGCAAUGGACGAAAGUCUGACGGUGCAACGCCGCGUGAGUGAUGAAGGAUUUCGGUUCGUAAAGCUCUGUUGUUAGGGAAGAAACCGUGCCGAACGAACUAGGUCGGCACCUUGACGGUACCUAACCAGAAAGCCACGGCUAACUACGUGCCAGCAGCCGCGGUAAUACGUAGGUGGCAAGCGUUGUCCGGAAUUAUUGGGCGUAAAGCGCGCGCAGGCGGUCUUUUAAGUCUGAUGUGAAAGCCCCCGGCUCAACCGGGGAGGGUCAUUGGAAACUGGGAGACUUGAGUACAGAAGAGGAGAGUGGAAUUCCACGUGUAGCGGUGAAAUGCGUAGAUAUGUGGAGGAACACCAGUGGCGAAGGCGACUCUCUGGUCUGUAACUGACGCUGAGGCGCGAAAGCGUGGGGAGCAAACA
rnacentral:rRNA from 1 species